GAUGAACGUUGGCGGUGUGCCUAAUACAUGCAAGUCGAACGGAGAUAAUAGCAAUAUUGUCUUAGUGGCGAACGGGUGAGUAACGCGUUGGUGAUCUGCCCCGAAGUGGGGAAUAACAAUUCGAAAGAAUUGCUAAUACCCCAUGUGAUCUUAGAGAUUAGAUGCUUUUUUGAUUAAAGGAUUUAUUCGCUUCGGGAGGAGCCUGCGUCCCAUCAGCUAGUUGGUAAGGUAAUGGCUUACCAAGGCGAUGACGGGUAGGGGACCUGAGAGGGUGGCCCCCCACAAUGGAACUGAAACACGGUCCAUACACCUACGGGUGGCUG
rnacentral:rRNA from 1 species